AGCGGACAGAUGGGAGCUUGCUCCCUGAUGUUAGCGGCGGACGGGUGAGUAACACGUGGGUAACCUGCCUGUAAGACUGGGAUAACUCCGGGAAACCGGGGCUAAUACCGGAUGCUUGUUUGAACCGCAUGGUUCAAACAUAAAAGGUGGCUUCGGCUACCACUUACAGAUGGACCCGCGGCGCAUUAGCUAGUUGGUGAGGUAACGGCUCACCAAGGCAACGAUGCGUAGCCGACCUGAGAGGGUGAUCGGCCACACUGGGACUGAGACACGGCCCAGACUCCUACGGGAGGCAGCAGUAGGGAAUCUUCCGCAAUGGACGAAAGUCUGACGGAGCAACGCCGCGUGAGUGAUGAAGGUUUUCGGAUCGUAAAGCUCUGUUGUUAGGGAAGAACAAGUGCCGUUCAAAUAGGGCGGCACCUUGACGGUACCUAACCAGAAAGCCACGGCUAACUACGUGCCAGCAGCCGGGGUAAUACGUAGGUGGCAAGCGUUAUCCGGAAUUAUUGGGCGUAAAGGGCUCGCAGGCGGUUUCUUAAGUCUGAUGUGAAAGCCCCCGGCUCAUCCGUGGAGGGUCAUUGGAAACUGGGGAACUUGAGUGCAGAAGAGGAGAGUGGAAUUCCACGUGUAGCGGUGAAAUGCGUAGAGAUGUGGAGGAACACCAGUGGCGAAGGCGACUCUCUGGUCUGUAACUGACGCUGAGGAGCGAAAGCGUGGGGAGCGAACAGGAUUAGAUACCCUGGUAGUCCACGCCGUAAACGAUGAGUGCUAAGUGUUAGGGGGUUUCCGCCCCUUAGUGCUGCAGCUAACGCAUUAAGCACUCCGCCUGGGGAGUACGGUCGCAAGACUGAAACUCAAAGGAAUUGACGGGGGCCCGCACAAGCGGUGGAGCAUGUGGUUUAAUUUGAAGCAACGCGAAGAACCUUACCAGGUCUUGACAUCCUCUGACAAUCCUAGAGAUAGGACGUCCCCUUCGGGGGCAGAGUGACAGGUGGUGCAUGGUUGUCGUCAGCUCGUGUCGUGAGAUGUUGGGUUAAGUCCCGCAACGAGCGCAACCCUUGAUCUUAGUUGCCAGCAUUCAGUUGGGCACUCUAAGGUGACUGCCGGUGACAAACCGGAGGAAGGUGGGGAUGACGUCAAAUCAUCAUGCCCCUUAUGACCUGGGCUACACACGUGCUACAAUGGACAGAACAAAGGGCAGCGAAACCGCGAGGUUAAGCCAAUCCCACAAAUCUGUUCUCAGUUCGGAUCGCAGUCUGCAACUCGACUGCGUGAAGCUGGAAUCGCUAGUAAUCGCGGAUCAGCAUGCCGCGGUGAAUACGUUCCCGGGCCUUGUACACACCGCCCGUCACACCACGAGAGUUUGUAACACCCGAAGUCGGUGAGGUA
rnacentral:rRNA from 1 species